rnacentral:rRNA from 1 species
AUGAACAUCAUGUAUCUGAGUGCAUCAACCAUAUUUGAGAAGUAUUGUGACAGUUGGGUGAUGAAGGCCGAUCCUAGGACAUCUAUCUUGAGUGGAUUUGGAUGGUUGCAGGAGACUAUCAGUACACCGGGAGAGACCUUCACCAUGCUUAGAAUGAAGGCAACAAUAUUCUUUGAACUUCAUGACUUGUUGAAGGAUAAGUAUGGGCUGAGCCAUUCCCCUUUUGUUAGUAGUUAUGAGUCUCUUGCUAUGUUCUUGUGGACCUUGGGAGGCUGUGAAUCAAAUAGAAGAACCCAAAACCGUUUCAAGCAUUCCACCGAUACAAUCCAUCGUAAAUUCCAUGAAGUACUACUUUGUGUGGUGAAGAUGUCAGCUGACUACAUCAAGCCUAAGGACCCAAAUUUUAUGGCCGUGCAUCCAAGGAUUCGGAAUGACAAAAGGGCUUAUCCACACUUGAAAGACUGCAUUGGUGCAAUAGAUGGGACUCACAUUAGGGCUUCUAUUCCCGAGGCCGCACAAGUGAGGUACAUCGGAAGAACAGGAGCAAUAACUCAAAAUGUGAUGGCAAUAUGUGACUUCGAUAUGCAUUUCACGUAUGCAUCUAUUGGUCAACCUGGUUCUAUGCAUGACACAACUGUGCUAUAUACCGCAAUGCAUAUGGAUAAGGCCACCUUUCCCCAUCCUCCAAAGGGUAAGCAUUUUUGCUUGUUGCAACUUAUGUCUUAUGUCCAACAACUUACAUGCACCAUUCUCUCUAUUUUGUAG